rnacentral:tRNA from 1 species
GAGGCUUUAUCUUAAUAAAAGUAUCUGAUUUGCAUUCAGAAGAUGGAAGUUAAAAUUUUUCAAGUCUUA